rnacentral:rRNA from 1 species
AACGAACGCUGGCGGCAUGCCUAACACAUGCAAGUCGAACGAUUGCCUUCGGGUGAUAGUGGCGCACGGGUGCGUAACGCGUGGGAAUCUGCCCUUAGGUUCGGAAUAACAGCUGGAAACUGCUGCUAAUACCGGAUGAUAUCUCGAGAUCAAAGAUUUAUCGCCUGAGGAUGAGCCCUCGUUGGAUUAGGUAGUUGGUGGGGUAAAGGCCUACCAAGCCGACGAUCCAUAGCUGGUCUGAGAGGAUGAUCAGCCACACUGGGACUGAGACACGGCCCAGACUCCUACGGGAGGCAGCAGUGGGGAAUAUUGGACAAUGGGCGCAAGCCUGAUCCAGCAAUGACGCGUGAGUGAUGAAGGCCGUAGGGUUGUAAAGCUCUUUUAACCGGGAAGAUAAUGACUGUACCGGGAGAAUAGGCCCCGGCUAACUCCGUG